UAAACUGCAGUUGUACGCCAGCUAAUGGGAUGCAGGACCCUUGUGCUGUGGAAUCACUCUCCCUGAGGUUCAACUUUUUUUCUGCUUCAGCUUCUAGCAAGGCAUCAUAAAUAACAGGCCUAUGAGUCUAACUAUUACAUUUGCCUGAAAGUCUUCACUGAGGACUGUCUUCACUAGACUCAGUAGACAAAGAAAAACAUACUUUUGUGAAGGGUUUAACUCAUCAAGAAUCGGCUUUCGCUCCUUAAUACACUCAGUAUCGGUGACAGCAAAAGCAGUGUUGGACUCCAUGUUCAGCUCAUCAACAAGACAGACUACAGUGGAAAGUGGUGUGGAUGGGAAAAGACCAGUGUCACAAAAAUAAAUUGGAUCUUAGGCUUUCC